CAUCAAUUUAAAAUCUAUUGUUAAUUAACAUGUAUAAUGUGAUGCUCGCUCCUGGUCAAGAGAGAGGACGAAGGUCAAUGGUGGAACCAGGGAACCAUGAGAAGAGACCGAGGAUCAUCAUCCCCUGCCGAUCUUCCACCUGUGACAGUGAGUAAACGGUGUAAUGGCAACCUCCAUGCAACCUGCUAUGAAUACAAUCACCGAUUCCACUUAAGAUGCUUAACUGAUUGUAGAACUAGAAUGUAAUGUUUCUCUCUCUCUCUCAAUAGGGAUCUGACUUUGGGUAUGCUCCCAAUGGACCUGGACCGCACCCUGGCCAGGGCCCCCCUCGCGGGCCAGGGUCCCGAUGGCGUAGACCUGCAGGGCCCCCAAGAGGAGGAAGACCCAACAUGAGGAACCUUGAUGCAAGGGUAAGACAUUUUUUAAACUUUUAUUUCAGACUAUAUUGGAAAGUACUAGCCUGGCGGUCCAGUUUGUUAGUGUGUUAGCCAAUGUAUCCCUCUCUGUCUUUCUGUUGUUAAAAGCGCAUAGAUUAUGGGACGCUGGCUAGGAGACGACAGAACUAAUUAGCUUUGAUAUAAUGAAGGGUGUUGUGUCUCUUUAUCUCCCCAGUCUGACAGGAACCCCAUUCGCCCCUCAGCUGUUCCAUCUGGAGCAGAAUGCAAGUGGUCUGCCCCUGAAAGAGGGUGAGAACAUUUUCCUGCUGCCAAAGGUGAGGAAUUCACACAAACAAUGAUUUAUUUUAGUAUUAUGAUGCCUGGAGUACUGCAUGAUGGGAUUGUGUAAAACAAAUAAUGUAUCUUCUUUACUAUCAGGGAGGACGAGGAACACCCCCACCAAGGGUAUGGACUAGCCUCUCAUUCCAUGUUGGCUUAAUUCUAUGACUCUGAAGUAUUGUAGGCAACAUAGCAGGAAGUAUGCCAUUGUACUGUAUAUAACAGAUAAGUAAACUGUAAUAUGUUUUACAGCAUGGACAUAAAAGACCUCAAGAAUUAGGGGUAUGACGAGAUAUUCCGUUUUAAAUCAUAUUCUAGUACAUUUUGCUGUGAAUUUUGGUGUGAAGUGUGAAUUUCUUGAAAGAACUUGAAAAGCAGUUGAUAUUUGUUCUGUGUCCCUGGUUUUGAUAGUUUGGAUACCCACACUCAUCUGGUUUUCAGGUAAGUGUCCUAAUGAACCUUUAAACUAUUUUGUUAUAUAUUUACAAUGCUGAAUAAAUAGAAAACAAGUUGAUUUGAAGAUUUGAGAAAUAGCAAAACAUUUCGUUUUUUUUGUCUCAGUUCCAACCUUACCUGAAGCUCAUCUACAACCCCUCAGCUACAGUAUGUAUACAUUUAUGAUUUAACAUCAACAAAAUACCACAAUGCAAAUAUGUUAUGUGAGAUUUUAUCUU
rnacentral:lncRNA from 13 species